rnacentral:rRNA from 1 species
AUGGAGAGCAGGGGUGGACAGUGGGAAGCGGUGGGGAGAAGCGAGCGGCAGCCGGCAGGGAGAGCCACGACGGGGUGGGCAGUGGGAAGCGGUGGGGAGAAGCGAGCGCCUGCCGGCAGGGAGAGCCACGACGAUGGUCGGCGUCAGCUGCCACUUCCUCCCCCCGCCGGCGCCGCGAGGCCGCCGAGCCCGCGCCCGAGCUUCCCGUCCGUGAGCGGUCACUCUGCCCACCGGCCGUCCCUCGUCUGUGUGCUUCUUCUCGGGAUGCUGACGCCAUGGAGCUCAUCAGCUCCCUCUCUGCUGCAGGAGGAUUGGAUCGGAUUGGUUUCUACAUGCUCUAUUAUCUGUUUGAGAACUGAGUUGCGGCCCUCCAAAUCUUCAGCCCCAGAAGGAGGAUUUGAGAGUGGAGAAGGGUCAACUGAAUGUGAUUUGGAGGAAGGAGUUGUCCAGGAAUCAAAAUGUUAUUAUUCUACUAUUCUGCAGGGGAGAAUCUAA